rnacentral:rRNA from 1 species
CGGGGGGGCAAGCGUUGUUCGGAAUUACUGGGCGUAAAGGGCUCGUAGGUGGCCAACUAAGUCGGACGUGAAAUCCCUCGGCUUAACCGGGGAACUGCGUCCGAUACUGGUUGGCUUGAGUUUGGGAGAGGGAUGCGGAAUUCCAGGUGUAGCGGUGAAAUGCGUAGAUAUCUGGAGGAACACCGGUGGCGAAGGCGGCAUCCUGGACCAAUACUGACGCUGAGGAGCGAAAGCCAGGGGAGCAAACGGGAUUAGAUACCCCGGUAGUCCUGGCCCUAAACGAUGAAUGCUUGGUGUGGCGGGUAUCGAUCCCUGCCGUGCCGAAGCUAACGCAUUAAGCAUUCCGCCUGGGGAGUACGGUCGCAAGGCUG